rnacentral:lncRNA from 1 species
CUUAAAAGAGCAGACGCGAAAGACCCGGGCCCACCUAGCCUAAUCAAAGCUCCGCCUCGCCCGACCACGGUCCCAGGGUCGGGAGCGCCCUCCCUCCCUCCACGAGGCUUCCGCCUUGUCCGACUGCGGCCCCAGGGUCGGGGGCGCCCGACCCCUCGCCCCAAGGUUCCGCCUCGUCCGACCCCGAGCCCAGGGGUCGGACUCACUGGGGCCCCCGGGGCGGACAUCCCCCUCGGAUACGAAUCAGGCGGAAUGGAUGAACAGUCC